AUUGAACGCUGGCGGCAGGCCUAACACAUGCAAGUCGAGCGAGCGGCGGACGGGUGAGUAAUGUAUGUGGACUGCGCGUUAGAGGGGGAUAACUCCUGUAAACGGUAUCUAUUACCGCAUACUAUCGGAUCGCCCAUAUGGGGUUAGCUAGUAGGUGAGGUAAUGGCUCACCUAGGCGACGAUCCCUAGCUGGUCUGAGAGGAUGAUCAGCCACACGGGGACUGAGACACGGCCCAGACUCCUACGGAGGCAGCAGUGGGGAAUAUUGCACAAUGGGCGCAAGCCUGAUGCAGCCAUGCCGCGUGUAUGAAGAAGGCCCUAGGGUUGUAAAGUACUUUCAGGCGGGAGGCGUUACCGACAGAAGAAGCACCGGCUAACUCCGUGCCAGCAGCCGCGGUAAUAC
rnacentral:rRNA from 1 species